rnacentral:rRNA from 1 species
UACGGGGGGGGCAAGCGUUGUUCGGAAUUACUGGGCGUAAAGGGCUCGUAGGCGGCCAACUAAGUCAGACGUGAAAUCCCUCGGCUUAACCGGGGAACUGCGUCUGAUACUGGAUGGCUUGAGUGUGGGAGAGGGAUGCGGAAUUCCAGGUGUAGCGGUGAAAUGCGUAGAUAUCGUGAGGAACACCAGAGGCGAAGGCGGCUACCUGGACAAUUGCUGACGCUCAGGCACGAAAGCGUGGGGAGCAAACAGG